rnacentral:rRNA from 1 species
AUGAACUUAGCUUGCUAAGUAUGAUGGCGACCGGCGCACGGGUGAGUAACACGUAUCCAACCUGCCGAUGACUCGGGGAUAGCCUUUCGAAAGAAAGAUUAAUACCCGAUGGCAUAGUUCUUCCGCAUGGUAGAACUAUUAAAGAAUUUCGGUCAUCGAUGGGGAUGCGUUCCAUUAGGUUGUUGGCGGGGUAACGGCCCACCAAGCCUUCGAUGGAUAGGGGUUCUGAGAGGAAGGUCCCCCACAUUGGAACUGAGACACGGUCCAAACUCCUACGGGAGGCAGCAGUGAGGAAUAUUGGUCAAUGGACGAGAGUCUGAACCAGCCAAGUAGCGUGAAGGAUGACUGCCCUAUGGGUUGUAAACUUCUUUUAUACGGGAAUAAAGUGAGGCACGUGUGCCUUUUUGUAUGUACCGUAUGAAUAAGGAUCGGCUAACUCCGUGCCAGCAGCCGCGGUAAUACGGAGGAUCCGAGCGUUAUCCGGAUUUAUUGGGUUUAAAGGGAGCGUAGGCGGACGCUUAAGUCAGUUGUGAAAGUUUGCGGCUCAACCGUAAAAUUGCAGUUGAUACUGGGUGUCUUGAGUACAGUAGAGGCAGGCGGAAUUCGUGGUGUAGCGGUGAAAUGCUUAGAUAUCACGAAGAACUCCGAUUGCGAAGGCAGCUUGCUGGACUGUAACUGACGCUGAUG